GGGCCUAGUAGCAAUAUCAAUGUUUCAGGAGAUAGUCUAGCUAGUAGUGGUUUGACAAGAAUAGCUUUAAGUUCUUCUAAAGUGUUGUUGCUCUAUCUACUUGCCAUAUCUACACAUAAGGAUUUUAAAAAGUGUAGUGCUACAUGAAUCCUACCAUGUACUACUUUGGUCACACCGUCAGUCAUAUCAACAUCUCCAUGUCUCCCUUGCAUAAGAUCCAUAUGCAAACCCAGAAGAAGUUCAUACGAUAGUUGGAGAAAAGUAGGGCUAGGCAUUAUUGCAUUUUGAAUAAGCACCAAGCUCAUAAUAGAAUAGUACUUACAUGUUAUAGUGUGGGUGCAACGCACAGCCAAAGAGGAGUCUGCAGCACCGCAAGAGCAGGGAAGAAAUCAAGAAAAUAGGGAGAGAUAAUUGGGAUAGUUUGUGCUUGCCUUGUUCAUCGAGAAUGCUACUCCCUCUGAUCCUAAAUUCUUGACUCAAAUUUGCCCAAAUAUGGAUGUAUCUAUUCUUAAAAAGCGUCUAGAUACAUGUAAUAUUUCGAAAACAAUUUAGGAUCCGAGGGAAUAGUUAUUAUAUAACCAGCUUACUAACUUGGGGGCUAAGCCAAACUAACAACUUUAGGAAAUAACUAACUUGAGAAUCAAACAAAUAUCUGCUAAAGCAAACUAGGGAUAGUUAGGGAUACUAUCCCCUUAAGUUCCUGCUGCGGCCCCCUCCUUGGUUGCCUUCUUGCGUUCUCCUGUAGGCUAGGUCCCACAUCACAUUACGUCCAUAUAUUAUACGAAUGCCUAUGAAUCAAAUUUCUUGAACUAACGAAUGAAAAAAUAUCUGUGGAAUCACCUUCCUUAUUUGUCUUGAUCUGAUACCUUUUUUGUCUGGAUUUUGCAGCUAAAUCAUGUAAAAAUAAUGUACACACAAUUCUUGCCUAUGACUAGAAUCCUUUGGCAUUGCUUUCUUAAAGUAGGAUGCCCCUCAAACCUUAAUUUUUUUAUGUGCUUGGGGUUAUUUACACCUUUUGUCUUCAUCUUACAAAAUUUGUUCCCAAUCUGCACAUAUACUUGGUCCUACAGCAGUAUGGCUGCACGAAGGAGAUAAGCUCAUGUCAUCUUUUAGUUACCACGUAUCAAUCAGGUCCAGGUUUUUGUCAGGAACAUGAUCCCUGGGAUUGUUCCCAAGUUGUUAGCCAGCUAUGAAAGGUCUGAUAAUCGAUGAGCAAUCAAAUUCUCCCCAAGUUAGUCCAUCACAUAUGUGAUCUAAUCUCAUCCCAAUCAAGCUGGCUCCACCUGUCCAUUCUCCUGCUGGUGUUUACCCCUGUUAUGUACUUCAGAACAUCACGAUAAAGCAUAACCGAAUCAAGUGGUUUGACCACCCGAUGAUUUUGGAAGAUGACAUUUCUGCUUCUCCUGUCAAGUCACCUAGCCAGUCUGACCAUCCCGACUCGGUGAAGCGACUCGACUAGUGAGCAAGUUGAGCGGCUCAUUGGCUAGCCGCCGGCUAGCUCCAACAAGAAACCCCAUGUCGCUUGACUUGGUGGCAUAUGUAUCACUCUUUGGAAAGGAUUUGGGGGAUAAGUUAGUCUCCAAGGCGAGCGUGGGCCCAAAGGUAGAGUCCCAAAUCGUGGAAAGAAGGGCGCACAAGAGGCCGUGUAAUCUAAAGCCCCCAAACCAUGUUUAUAUAUAGGGAAAAACACCUUUGUGCCACUUAAACUCAACAUAGUAUCCUUUUCACGUUGUAUCUCUGACAUGUGCUCUAGCAGUAGUAAAAAAGGAACUAUUUUGAAAGUUGAAAUUAUAUCCAAACUUUCAUCAGAGUUUUUAAGUCUAGAUACUCGGAUUAACUUAGCUCAGUUAAAGAUGAAUUUGU